GGUGGGGGGGCAUCUGCCAUUACAGAGGCAGUCCACCACUACCAAGGUAGUGAGCCAUUGCUGAGGCAUCCUGCCAUUACAGACAGAGUCCGCCAUUAUAGAGGCAGGCUGCCAUUGCUGAGGCAGCUCUAACUAUACCCCUAUAAACAGGACUGCAGGGAAGUUUACAUGGAACCUGGGCAGAGUCCACAGCAGCUUAGUAGGGCCUCCGCUGGCAGACUGUGACUAGGCUACCUCAAAUCUGGGCAGGGCAUCCCUGACAAAAGGGAGCAGCAUGGCAGAAGCUUAUAAAUAAAGCCCUACCUUCCAGGGACAGAGCAUGUGGG